GACGAACGCUGGCGGCGUGCCUAAUACAUGCAAGUUGAGCGCUGAAGGUUGGUACUUGUACCAACUGGAUGAGCAGCGAACGGGUGAGUAACGCGUGGGGAAUCUGCCUUUGAGCGGGGGACAACAUUUGGAAACGAAUGCUAAUACCGCAUAAAAACUUUAAACACAAGUUUUAAGUUUGAAAGAUGCAAUUGCAUCACUCAAAGAUGAUCCCGCGUUGUAUUAGCUAGUUGGUGAGGUAAAGGCUCACCAAGGCGAUGAUACAUAGCCGACCUGAGAGGGUGAUCGGCCACAUUGGGACGGAGACACGGCCCAAACGCCUACGGGAGGCAGCAGUAGGGAAUCUUCGGCAAUGGACGAAAGUCUGACCGAGCAACGCCGCGUGAGGGAAGAAGGUUUUCGGAUCGUAAAACUCUGUUGGUAGAGAAGAACGUUGGUGAGAGUGGAAAGCUCAUCAAGUGACGGUAACUACCCAGAAAGGGACGGCUAACUACGUG
rnacentral:rRNA from 1 species